AUAUCGUAAUAUGUAAACAAGCAACACAAUAACUAGCUAAGACGUGACAGCGUAUAUCUACCAAACAAAGGUUGUCAAAUUAGAAUCAAAUCACAUUUGACCGCAUUUUCCAAUGAGUAAGAACAUAAACCUGCAUUAUAACUGGUAUCUUUAAUCUAAACGCAAAAUACAAAUUUAUAUGAAGUCUCUUUCACUGGAUACAAUCUAGAUGUCCGAAAGGACAACGACGCAAGCAGCAGGGUUCCAGAUGAGGGUCAAUAUCCCACUGUGGACUCAUACGAACUUUGUGGAUUACCAGUAAUUGUUUGGAAACUGAAAUAUUUUGUAGCCGUAAAGAAAAAUGCCAAUCUUUGGAUCUUCCGUCGCAGAUGCAAUGUAACUCAACAAGUGAAAGGAUUCUCUUCAUAUAAAAGUAAUUUCCUUUGAAAGUUGUUAUUUUGAAGACAGGACUAUGUCUCUUAUAAAAUAUUUAACUCCUUCAUUUUUUUAUGAAUAAACUUAUAAAUAUAUAAAACCUUCGUAGUUUUGAGAACAAGCUACAAAAGACCAUUAGCGUCUUAAAACUUACCAUCAUUAUAUACUGAAGUCUCUGAAACAAGGUUUUGAAUUAUUAAUGAACCUUGUUAUAUUGUUUCUCAUUAAUCAUAAACGACACAUGAAAAAUGUUUCACAGACUUGAGUCUGAUAGAGUUUUUAUUCAAUACAACACAGGCACAGAUUCACACACACACACAAACGACUCAAUCAUACAUUAACACGCACAUACACAUACACGCACACACACACACACACACACACACACACAAACACACACACACAUACAUAUAUUCAUAUGUGUAUGUAUAUAUUUAUAUAUAUGUAUGUAUGCGUAUGUUACUAUUUAACAAAUUUUAUUCAACUUUCUCUCUUUUAUACAACCGUGACUUUUUUUCCUGUGACUUUUUUUCCGUUACAUUUUUACUUGUGACAUUUUUCACCGGGAUUCUUCGUAACAUGUAACGUGCUUUCGCCAUUGCUUUAAGAGCGUACCUACUCAGGAGAAGAAUCCAGGUAAAAUGUCACAGGAAAAAAAGUCACGGAAAAAGGUUCAGAGGUAAAAAAAAGUCCGGGGUGGGGGCUCUGUCCAAGUGGGUUUUGUCCUCGUGGGGUUUUGUCUGGAUCUCGUAAAUUGUGACUUUUUCCCUGUGAUUUUAUUACCGGUGACCAUAAAUCAAUUGUGACUUUUUUCUUAGCCAAAAUUAUAACUUUAUUACCAUGACUUCUUUUUCUGUGAUUUUAUUACCUGUUACCGUUACGUUACGAACACAUACUCGUUUGCAUAUAACGGCAGUUCUAGCUCAAUUGCCGGAACGUUUAUAAUCCUCAUUCCCCAAAUUUAUUGAACAACCAUUUAAUUUCAUUUAGUAAUAUACAUAUACGUACCACAGCAUAUAUACAGUGUUGAUUUGUAUACAGAGUGUCCAUAAAUAACUUUAUAAUUUGAAAAAUUCAGAAAAAAAUGCGAUCUGAGGAUAACUGAACAGAGGUUAUGGAAAAAUAUAAGUGAACAAAUAACGUUUUAUCAGAAGCAUCCAAACACUUCUCACGUGAGCCGCUUUGGUUGCAAAGAUGUUGAUUGAUGGUUCUCAACUUUAAUAGAUGCAAUAAACUGUGGAAGUUGUAAAGAUAAUUUAUGGAUACGCUGUAUAUAAACAUGUUUUAUUGCCUUGUUUCCAUGCCAAAUCAGCAUCUGCAUGCCGAACUUUGCAUUAUUUAUCGUCUGUGAUAAGAAACUUACGACUGUUUUACAUGUUUAAGGGAAAUAAUUCUAGUAUACAUUUUUCUACAUUUUUAUACAUUUUAUAUAAGAUUUAUACAUUUCAAAAUGAAUGCAGUUAUUCAGAUUAAACAUAUAUACACGAAGAGAGGUUGACAGUAACUUCGAAGUUUUCGCCGGAUGUUGUUCACCAUACUAUCCGAAAAAACUAGAAGCACCAAAAUCUAAGUUGCUGUCACCCCCUCCUCAGUCUUUUAAAAGUUAAAAUAAAUGUGUGCUAUACUAAACGCAUUGAAAAAUUCUUUAGUAGAAAGUUAUAGUGCUUUUAGUAUAAUUCGAAUAAAAGACAAAAAAAGUGUAUACAUAUGUAUAUGUAUAUGUAUGUAUAUGUAUAUGUAUGUAUACACACAUAUAUAUAUAAUACAUACAUAUAUACAUAUAUAUAUAUAUAUAUAUAUAUUUCGUAUGUGUAUUUCGUGUGCAAGAUUCUUGAUGUGGAUACGUGUGUUGAAAGAAAUACAAUUAAACCUUGGGAGAGGCAUUAUAUAUAUAUAUAUACAUAUAUACAUAUAUAUACAUAUAGGCGCAGGAGUGUCUGUGUGCUAAGUAACUUGCUUACCAACCACAUGGUUGUGGGUUAAGUCCCACUGCGUUGCACCUUGGGUUAGUGUCUUCUGCUAUAGCCUCGGGGUGACAUAAGCCUUGUGAGUGGAUUUGCUAGACGGAAACUGAAAGAAACCUGUCGUAUAUAUGUAUAUGUAUAUGUAUAUAUAUGUGUGUGUAUGUUUGUGUGUCUGUGUUUGUCCGCCCGUACAUCGCUUGACAACCGAUGCUGGUGUGUUUACGUCCCCGUAUCUUUGGCAAAAGAAACCGAUAGAAUAAGUACUAGGCUGACAAAGAAUAAGUCCUGGAGUCGAUUUGCUCGACUGAAGGCGGUGCUCCAGCAUGGCCGAAAUCAAAUGACUGAAACAAGUAGUAAAGAGAGUAAAGAAUAUAUAUAUAUGUAUAUACAUAUAUACAUCUAUGUAUACAUAUUUGUGUAUAUACAUACAUACACUCAUACACACACACACGC